CGCUUCUCAAGAAAGAGAGGGGCAGUCGGUCUGUACAUGCGUGAGGUGGCGAGAGGCGUGUCCAGGGGGCGGCUAGUAGCGUGUGCCACCGUGGAAAUAUGUACAGACAUAAAGAAGACGCCCUCAAGAAAGACUACCCCAUCCCCUGCCUCCCGCUGUGCCCCACCCAGACACCACGGCCCAGCAGUGACGCCAUUCCACCUGCUACACGACGCUGGCUGACGCACUCCAGACGUGGCAGCAACAGGAGGUGGAGGGCAGGAGCAAGAGUCGGAUGGAUGGCGAAGGAAGGCAUGAUGGCGGAGCUGGUGGCUUUGGAGGGUGUUCGUGCAGGGUACCUCGGCAGGGUCUAGAUUAGAGCAAAUGGAUGAUGAGAGACUAGUAAGGUGUUUGUGUGGAAUAUUAGGAGUAGCAGUUGGGGGAACAAGUGUGUUAGGAUGGUAAUAAAGAAUGGCUUGGAAACUAGUUGUUGGGCUUUUGAGGGGUUGAGUGAAGCCUUGUUGAGAGUGAUGGAAGUAGGAUUGUCAGAAAUGGAGAGGGCUUACAAUGUUAUGUAACUAAGUGGACAAGUGAGAUAGACAGAGUGAUCAAGCACAUGGGACUGAGUGAGCCAAGUGUGGAAAUUCUGGGAUGGAGUGAGCCAGGUGUGGAAAAGUGUGGAAAUUGUGGGAGUUGAGUGAGCCAUGUGUGGAAAUUGUGUAGAAAAGUGUGGAAAUAGUGUGGAGAAGGUGUGGAAAAAAUGUGGAAAUUGUGGGGUUGAGUGAGCCAGGUGUGGACAAGUGAGAUAGACAGAGCGAUGAAGCAUGUGGGGUUGAGUGAGCCAGGUGUGUGCGUCACUUGGGGAUGACUGUGAGCUAACCUGGGACCAAUGGUUGAUGACGCUCACUGAUGGAAUUAGAAGCUGCAUGAAUUGUUUAUGUAGAUUUUAGAAGCUGUCUCAAUUGUUUGUGUAGAUCUGAAGCACUUACUUUGAAUUGAAGGCUUGGACCAUGUAAUAUCUUUGUAAUUCUUCUGUAUCUCUGUCAUAAGUUCCUUAGAUAACUCACUACUGUUUUUGUCUCUAUAUAAUAAUAUGUACAUUUACUCAAACUGCAUUUCCUUUCAGUGUGCAGGUUGGCAGUAAACCUCCCUGAAGGUUCCAGAACUGCUCACCAAGUGUCCAGCCCAGCCUGUCACAAGACUAUGUGACAGUGGACCUUCCACUCAUACUGAAAACAGCUGUGCACUGCCACUCACAGGAAGUGGUGACCACUCUAGAUUGAGUUGUCUUGAAGCUGAGAUGAGUUGGUCGGGUAAUGAGUGACUUGCA